rnacentral:rRNA from 2 species
AGAGUUUGAUCAUGGCUCAGGACGAACGCUGGCGGCGUGCCUAAUACAUGCAAGUCGAGCGGAUCGAUGGGAGCUUGCUCCCUGAGAUCAGCGGCGGACGGGUGAGUAACACGUGGGUAACCUGCCUGUAAGACUGGGAUAACUCCGGGAAACCGGGGCUAAUACCGGAUAACACCUACCCCCGCAUGGGGGAAGGUUGAAAGGUGGCUUCGGCUAUCACUUACAGAUGGACCCGCGGCGCAUUAGCUGGUUGGUGAGGUAACGGCUCACCAAGGCGACGAUGCGUAGCCGACCUGAGAGGGUGAUCGGCCACACUGGGACUGAGACACGGCCCAGACUCCUACGGGAGGCAGCAGUAGGGAAUCUUCCGCAAUGGACGAAAGUCUGACGGAGCAACGCCGCGUGAGUGAAGAAGGUUUUCGGAUCGUAAAACUCUGUUGUUAGGGAAGAACAAGUGCCGUUCGAAUAGGGCGGCGCCUUGACGGUACCUAACCAGAAAGCCACGGCUAACUACGUGCCAGCAGCCGCGGUAAUACGUAGGU